CCUACGGGGGGCUGCAGUGAGGAAUAUUGGUCAAUGGGCGCGAGCCUGAACCAGCCAAGUAGCGUGAAGGAUGACGGCCCUACGGGUUGUAACCUUCUUUUAUAAAGGAAUAAAGUGAGGCACGUGUGCCUUUUUGUAUGUACUUUAUGAAUAAGGCUCGGCUAACUCCGUGCCAGCAGCCGCGGUAAUACGGAGGAUCCGAGCGUUAUCCGGAUUUAUUGGGUUUAAAGGGAGCGUAGAUGGGUUGUUAAGUCAGUUGUGAAAGUUUGCGGCUCAACCGGAAAAUUGCAAUUGAUACUGGCAGUCUUGAGUACAGUUGAGGUAGGCGGAAUUCGUGGUGUAGCGGUGAAAUGCUUAGAUAUCACGAAGAACUCCGAUUGCGAAGGCAGCUUACUAAUCUUCCACUGACAUUGAUGCUCGAAAGUGUGGGUAUCAAACAGGAUUAGAUACCCUGGUAGUC
rnacentral:rRNA from 1 species